CGAUUCGGGGAGGUAGUGACAAUAAAUAACAAUACAGGGCCAACGGUCUUGUUAUUGGAAUGAGAACAAUUUAAAUAACUUAACGAGGAUCAAUUAGAGGGCAAGUCUGGUGCCAGCAGCCGCGGUAAUUCCAGCUCUAAUAGCGUAUAUUAAAGUUGUUGCAGUUAAAAAGCUCGUAGUCGGAUGUCGGACUCGGGCAGGCUGUCGGCUUCGGUCGGACGGCAGGCUCGGGUCUUUCUGCCUGAGGAUCCCGUUGCACUUAAUUGUGGGGCGUGGGGACGCAGGCCGUUUACUUUGAAAAAAUUAGAGUGUUCAAAGCAGGCCUACGCUUGAAUACAUUAGCAUGGAAUAAUGGAAUAGGACUUUGGUGCUAUUUUGUUGGUUUAUGGGACCGAAGUAAUGAUUAACAGGGACAGUUGGGGCCGUUUAUAUUUCGUUGUCAGAGGUGAAAUUCUUGGAUUUACGAAAGAUAAACUUCUGCGAAAGCAUUCGGCAAGGAUGUUUUCAUUGAUCAAGAACGAAAGUUAGGGGAUCGAAGACGAUCAGAUACCGUCGUAGUCUUAACCAUAAACUAUGCCGACUAGGGAUCAGUGGAUGUCAAUUUGCGACUCCAUUGGCACCUUGUGAGAAAUCAAAGUUUUUGGGUUCCGGGGGGAGUAUGGUCGCAAGGCUGAAACUUAAAGGAAUUGACGGAAGGGCACCACCAGGAGUGGAGCCUG
rnacentral:rRNA from 1 species